rnacentral:rRNA from 1 species
AUUGAACGCUGGCGGCAGGCCUAACACAUGCAAGUCGAACGGUAGCACAGAGAGCUUGCUCUCGGGUGACGAGUGGCGGACGGGUGAGUAAUGUCUGGGAAACUGCCUGAUGGAGGGGGAUAACUACUGGAAACGGUAGCUAAUACCGCAUAAUGUCGCAAGACCAAAGAGGGGGACCUUCGGGCCUCUUCGCCAUCAGAUGUCGCCCAGAGUGGG